rnacentral:rRNA from 1 species
CAGCGCCACGAGUGGCAAUCACGAUUAUUGGGCCUAAAGCGUCCGUAGCCGGUCCGGUAAAUCCUUUGUGAAAUCGCCAGGCUUAACCUGGCGGCGUGCAGGGGACACUGCCGGACUCGAGACCGGGAGGAGUCAGAAGUAUUUUGGGGGGAGCGGUAAAAUGCUAUAAUCCCUGAAAGACUACCUAUGGCGAAGGCAUCUGACUAGAACGGAUCUGACGGUGAGGGACGAAAGCCAGGGGAGCGAACCGGAUUAGAUACCCGAGUAGUCC